UACGUAGGUGGCAAGCGUUGUCCGGAUUUAUUGGGUUUAAAGCGCGCGUAGGCGGGCAGGUAAGUCCGUGGUGAAAUCUCUGAGCUUAACUCAGAAACUGCCAUGGAUACUAUUUGACUUGAAUAUUGUGGAGGUAAGCGGAAUAUGUCAUGUAGCGGUGAAAUGCUUAGAUAUGACAUAGAACACCAAUUGCGAAGGCAGCUUACUACACAGUUAUUGACGCUGAGGCACGAAAGCGUGGGGAUCAAACAGG
rnacentral:rRNA from 1 species